CCUACGGGAGGCAGCAGUAAGGAAUAUUGGUCAAUGGACGCAAGUCUGAACCAGCCAUGCCGCGUGCAGGAUGAAGGCCCUCUGGGUUGUAAACUGCUUUUACAGGGGACGAAAAGGGACUUUCUAGUUCAACUGACGGUACCCUGGGAAUAAGCACCGGCUAACUCCGUGCCAGCAGCCGCGGUAAUACGGAGGGUGCAAGCGUUAUCCGGAUUUACUGGGUUUAAAGGGUGCGUAGGUGGGUUGGUAAGUCAGCGGUGAAAUCUUCAAGCUUAACUUGGAAACUGCCAUUGAUACUAUCAAUCUUGAAUCAUCUGGAGGUAAGCGGAAUAUGUCAUGUAGCGGUGAAAUGCUUAGAUAUGACAUAGAACACCAAUUGCGAAGGCAGCUUACUACGGAUGUAUUGACACUGAGGCACGAAAGCGUGGGGAUCAAACAGGAUUAGAUACCCUGGUAGUCCACGCCCUAAACGAUGGAUACUCGACAUACGUGAUAUACUAUNUGUGUNUGAGAGAAGANAUAAGUAUACCACCACGGAGAGAGNGCAGAUAGAAGUAACGAAAGAAGUUAGAGGCGNGAGAGAGCCGACGACGACGACGAGGGAGGAGG
rnacentral:rRNA from 1 species